UUAAUGUUAGAGACAUCAUGGAGAAAUGUUCGGCAUGUCAGCUUCACCAUUUGUACAUCUUUAUAAGCACCCAAGACUAUUUCACAUAUUGAUUUUUGCUGUGGGAAUUCCGUUAUCCUGUCAUCCCAAAGCUGAAAGAAAAACACUGUAGAAUAGAUUAGAACUUCAACCAUUAGCAUGAAAAUAACGCAACAAGACAUA